rnacentral:rRNA from 1 species
CCUACGGGUGGCAGCAGUGAGGAAUAUUGGUCAAUGGACGGAAGUCUGAACCAGCCAUGCCGCGUGCAGGAUGACGGCUCUAUGAGUUGUAAACUGCUUUUGUACGAGAAUAAUAGUUCUUACGUGAAGGGAUUUGAAUGGAUCGUACGAAUAAGGGUAGGCUAACUCCGUGCCAGCAGCCCCGGUAAUACGGAGGAGUGGAGCGUUAGCCGGAUUGAUUGGGUUUAAAGGGUGCGUAGGCUGUCGGAUAAGUUAGAGGUCAAAUGCCAGGGCUUAACCCCGUGCCUGCCUCUGAUACUGUUCGACUAGAGAGCGGAUGCAGCAGGCGGAAUGAGUAGUGUAGCGGUGAAAUGCUUAGAUAUUACUCAGAACACCGAUAGCGCAGGCAGCUUGCUAAUCCGCAUCUGACGCUGAUGCGCGAAAGCGUGGGUAGCGAACAGGAUUAGAUACCCUUGUAGUC